AGCAGCCGCGGUAAUUCCAGCUCCAAUAGCGUAUAUUAAAGUUGUUGCAGUUAAAAAGCUCGUAGUUGAAUUUCGGGAUCAAUUUACUGGUCGUGCAAUCGUACGUACUGGUUUUAUUGAUUCCUCUCUUCUGAAGAACUAUGAUGUCAUUAAUUUGGUGUCAUAGGGAAUCAGGACUGUUACUUUGAAAAAAUUAGAGUGUUUAAAGCAGGCUCACGCUUGAAUACAUUAGCAUGGAAUAACGAAAUAGGACGUUUGAUUCUAUUUUGUUGGUUUCUAGGAUCGACGUAAUGAUUAAUAGGGAUAGUUGGGGGCAUUAGUAUUCAAUUGUCAGAGGUGAAAUUCUUGGAUUUAUUGAAGACUAACUACUGCGAAAGCAUUUGCCAAGGAUGUUUUCAUUAAUCAAGAACGAAAGUUAGGGGAUCGAAGACGAUCAGAUACCGUCGUAGUCUUAACCAUAAACUAUGCCGACUAGGGAUCGGAUGAUGUUAAUUUUUUAAUGA
rnacentral:rRNA from 1 species